AUGCAGAUAUGUCCGAGUAUUUCAAGAUUUCAGCUGCUUUUGAUAGGUCUUUCAUUCAGAAGAAUCAAAUGGUUUGUUAAUGCAAGGAGUCACUGUCCAUGUGUCGAUGGGUUUAUAUGUGCCUCUCUUUCAACUAGAGAGGAACUAAUUAUGUGUUCAUGGCUAAAAGUUCUGAAAAUUUCUGCAAAUUGUUUAGGUUUGAACAGAGAUUCAAAAUACAUUUAUGCAAGCUUCCAUGUUUUUCAGAGAUUUGUUUUAGUAAGCAUGACCUUGGCUACCAACCAUAGAUUGGUUCGAAAUUGA
rnacentral:rRNA from 1 species